rnacentral:rRNA from 1 species
UGAGGAAUAUUGGUCAAUGGGCGCAAGCCUGAACCAGCCAUCCCGCGUGAAGGAUGAAGGCCCUAUGGGUCGUAAACUUCUUUUAUACACCAAGAAAAAGCAGGACGAGUCCUGCCCCGACGGUAGUGUAUGAAUAAGCAUCGGCUAACUCCGUGCCAGCAGCCGCGGUAAUACGGAGGAUGCGAGCGUUAUCCGGAUUCAUUGGGUUUAAAGGGUGCGUAGGCGGCUUUUUAAGUCAGUGGUGAAAUCUUGCAGCUUAACGGUAAAAUUGCCAUUGAUACUGAUGUGCUUGAGUACAAUUGAGGUGAGCGGAAUGUGUAGUGUAGCGGUGGAAUGCUUAGAUAUUACACAGAACACCAAUGGCGAAGGCAGCUUACUAAGCUGUUACUGACGCUGAUGCACGAAAGCGUGGGGAGCGAACA